rfam:Macaca mulatta chromosome X, whole genome shotgun sequence.
GCCGGGUGUGGUGGCUCACGCCUGUAAUUCCAACACUUUGGGAGGCUGAGGCGGGUGGAUCACCUGAGGUCAGGAGUUCAAGACCAGCCUGGUCAACAUGGUGAAACCCCGUCUCUA